GCUGCACCUCUCAAUGAGCUUACAAAGAAAGAUGUGCCUUUUCUUUGGGGUACCGCACAGGAAGAAGCCUUCUCCGUAUUGAAAGAUAAGUUGACACAUGCUCCUUUACUCCAACUUCCUGAUUUUAAUAAGACUUUUGAGCUUGAAUGUGAUGCUAGUGGAAUUGGAUUAGGAGGUGUGUUAUUACAAGAUGGCAAACCCGUUGCAUACUUUUCUGAAAAAUUGAGUGAGCCUAGUCUGAAUUAUUCUACUUAUGAUAAAGAAUUAUAUGCUCUUGUUCGGACUUUAGAAACAUGGCAACAUUAUUUAUGGCCCAAAGAAUUUGUUAUACAU
rnacentral:rRNA from 1 species